GCAACAACAGCCAGAAGGACCCACCCACAGGAGCUUAAACUGGAGCAGUGGCAUGAGGUGGACAGCAGGACAAGGUGAAGAAAGUUCCAGUUUUCUGACUGGAGGAUUGAAAUGGGGAGCUCCAGCACAUUUGAAAAGUGCCAGGACAUCAUGGAGGAAAAGGAGCUCAGAACACCAGGACAUUGUGGAGGAAAAGGAGCUCAGAACACCAGGACAUCGUGGAGGAAAAGGAGCUCAGAACACCAAAUCCAUGAAGCUGUUUAUGAACGUCUGGGCUCACCUCUGAACUAUGCAUGCAUAGAUCUGACUUGAAACAUAUGUACAAUUUUCAUAAGACUUAAACAAGACCUCAAAUACUGUACCAUAAUAUUCAAAUUGUCCAACAUACAAUCCAAAAUUACUUAAUAUAAGGCCAGGCACAGUA
rnacentral:lncRNA from 10 species